UAGGGAAUAUUGGGCAAUGGGCGAAAGCCUGACCCAGCGACGCCGCGUGGGGGAAGAAGUCCCUCGGGAUGUAAACCCUUGUUGUACGGGACGAAGGAAGUGACGGUACCGUACGAGGAAGCCCCGGCAAACUACGUGCCAGCAGCCGCGGUAAUACGUGGGGGGCGAGCGUUGUCCGGAAUCACUGGGCGUAAAGCGCACGUAGGCGGGCUGUUAAGUCGGCCGUGAAAGGCACUGGCUCAACCGGUGUUUGUCGGUCGAUACUGGCAGUCUGGAGUAUGGGAGAGGGAACUGGAAUUCCCGGUGUAGCGGUGAAAUGCGUAGAUAUCGGGAGGAACGCCAGUGGCGAAGGCGGGUUCCUGGCCCAUGACUGACGCUGAGGCGCGAAAGCCGGGGGAGCGAACGG
rnacentral:rRNA from 1 species